GCUUCGGUGGAUUAGUGGUUAGAGCUUCCGCCUCGGACGCGGGAGAUCGCGGGUUCGAACCCCAGCUGAGUCA